rnacentral:rRNA from 1 species
AGAGUUUGCUCAUGGCUCGGAACGAACGCUCGCGGCGCGUUUUACGCACGCAACUCGGACGGUAGUCCCGCUUUCGGGUGGGAUGAGAGUGGCGGCCGGGUGAGUAACGCGUAGGCAACCUGCCCUUUCGAACGGGAUAACCCAGCGAAAGUUGGACUAAUACCGUAUACUGCAUAUUGAUCGCAUGAUUACUAUGUUAAAGGUUGCUCUUCGGAGCACUCGCGAGAGGAUGGGCCUGCGUUCCAUUAGUUAGUUGGUGAGGUAACGGCUCACCAAGGCAGCGAUGGAUAGCUGAUUUGAGAGAGUGGUCAGCCACACUGGGACUGAGAUACGGCCCAGACUCCUACGGGAGGCAGC